rnacentral:rRNA from 1 species
AUUGAACGCUGGCGGCAGGCCUAACACAUGCAAGUCGAACGAGUGGCGGACGGGUGAGUAAUGUCUGGGAAACUGCCCGAUGGAGGGGGAUAACUACUGGAAACGGUAGCUAAUACCGCAUACCAUCGGAUGUUCCCAGAUGGGAUUGGCUUUUAGGUGAGGUAACGGCUCACCUAGGCGACGAUCCCUCGCUGGUCUGAGAGGAUGACCAGACACACUGGAACUAAGCAACGGUCCAGAAUACUAAUGGAGGAAGGAGUGGGGAAGAGUGCACAGUGGGCGGAAGCCGGAUGCAGCCAUGCCGCGUGUAUGAAGAAGGACUUGGGGUUGUAAAGUACUUUCAGCGGGGAGGCGUUACACGCAGAAGAAGCACCGGCUAACUCCGUGCCAGCCGCCGCGGUAAUAG